ACCGUUGCGCGAGUAAUGGCGCUUUGCAAUGGUGAUUUGCAGGAAAACAGUGCAGGAUGCUGUGAUUCGUUUCUUGUGGUCGGAGGUUAUGUUUGAUGCCUAUAUUUAUCAAAGAUUUAAUGCACAUUAUGGAGAAAGUGUUUUGUCACGAAGUGUGUUUGAAUGGGCACAAAAGUUCAAAGAAGAUCGCACGAGUGUUAUGAAAAAACAGCUGGACGCCCGUCCACAUCCACGAUGACAACAUUGAACGUGCUCAUGAACUUAUGCUCUAUGGAAUAGACGAGUGACACUGGAUAAUGUGGCAAAUCAUUUGCAAAUCAGCCACGGCUCUGCUUAUGCAAUAGUGCACGACAGAUUUGGAUUUUAAAAAGUUUGUGCGAGAUGGAUGCCGAAAAAGCUGAUGAAAAGGUGAAGACGACGAUGCAUUCGUGGUUCGCAGCUCAGCCCAAAACAUUUUUUAAUGAGAAAAUACAAAGGUCCUUCGGCAAAUGGACAAAGUGUAUACAGAAAUCGAGUGAUUAUGUCAAAAAAUGAUGUAUGUCUUUUUUGACAAUUGCUUAAAAUAAAUUCUACACCGACAAAGCGGGCUGUUAAUCUAGAGGCUGGAGUACAAAGAAGUGGCACAAUGAUGUGGGCUGAUGACAUUUAUAAUUAUCAAGGAAUCACCCCUACAUUCGCUCAGAAUUUUAAUGAAACUGUCCCUUGGGAAGGAAGAACUGAUACCUUGAUAUCACGGUUUGUACAUCCUAUAUAUACGACAAAUUUUAGAACAUUAUAUAAUGAAGAACCAGAUCAUUUUAUCAUUAGUUGUAUGAUAAUACAACUUUUUCAUGAAUUCUUUUAUUAUAAAAAUAUUACUUCUAAAAUCCCCGCUUUAAGGGACCAAAUCACAUGGCUAAAAUUUUUAAUCUUUUUGAUAGAUAGUCGCUGUUGAUACUUAACCGAGUAUGGUCAUAUAGUCGGAUAAAUAAAAUUUCCAUCCUUUCAAAUAUAUAUUAUAUUCGUCAGU